rnacentral:rRNA from 1 species
GAUGAACGCUGGCGGCGUGACUAAUACAUGCAAGUCGAGCGAACGGACGAGAAGCUUGCUUCUCUGAUGUUAGCGGCGGACGGGUGAGUAACACGUGGAUAACCUACCUAUAAGACUGGGAUAACUUCGGGAAACCGGAGCUAAUACCGGAUAAUAUUUUGAACCGCAUGGUUCAAAAGUGAAAGACGGUCUUGCUGUCACUUAUAGAUGGAUCCGCGCUGCAUUAGCUAGUUGGUAAGGUAACGGCUUACCAAGGCAACGAUGCAUAGCCGACCUGAGAGGGUGAUCGGCCACACUGGAACUGAGACACGGUCCAGACUCCUACGGGAGGCAGCAGUAGGGAAUCUUCCGCGAUGGCGAAAGCCUGACGGAGCAACGCCGCGUGAGUGAUGAAGGUCUUCGGAUCGUAAAACUCUGUUAUUAGGGAAGAACAUAUGUGUAAGUAACUGUGCACAUCUUGACGGUACCUAAUCAGAAAGCCACGGCUAACUACGUG